rnacentral:rRNA from 1 species
GCCCGGCUUGCUGGGUGGAUUAGUGGCGAACGGGUGAGUAACACGUGAGUAACCUGCCCUUAACUCUGGGAUAAGCCUGGGAAACUAGGUCUAAUACCGGAUAGGAGCGCCUACCGCAUGGUGGGUGUUGGAAAGAUUUAUCGGUUUUGGAUGGACUCGCGGCCUAUCAGCUUGUUGGUGAGGUAAUGGCUCACCAAGGCGACGACGGGUAGCCGGCCUGAGAGGGUGACCGGCCACACUGGGACUGAGACACGGCCCAGACUCCUACGGGAGGCAGCAGUGGGGAAUAUUGCACAAUGGGCGAAAGCCUGAUGCAGCGACGCCGCGUGAGGGAUGACGGCCUUCGGGUUGUAAACCUCUUUCAGUAGGGAAGAAGCGAAAGUGACGGUACCUGCAGAAGAAGCACCGGCUAACUACGUGCCAGCAGCCGCGGUAAUACGUAGGGUGCGAGCGUUAUCCGGAAUUAUUGGGCGUAAAGAGCUCGUAGGCGGUUUGUCGCGUCUGUCGUGAAAGUCCGGGGCUUAACCCCGGAUCUGCGGUGGGUACGGGCAGACUAGAGUGCAGUAGGGGAGACUGGAAUUCCUGGUGUAGCGGUGGAAUGCGCAGAUAUCAGGAGGAACACCGAUGGCGAAGGCAGGUCUCUGGGCUGUAACUGACGCUGAGGAGCGAAAGCAUGGGGAGCGAACAGGAUUAGAUACCCUGGUAGUCCAUGCCGUAAACGUUGGGCACUAGGUGUGGGGACCAUUCCACGGUUUCCGCGCCGCAGCUAACGCAUUAAGUGCCCCGCCUGGGGAGUACGGCCGCAAGGCUAAAACUCAAAGGAAUUGACGGGGGCCCGCACAAGCGGCGGAGCAUGCGGAUUAAUUCGAUGCAACGCGAAGAACCUUACCAAGGCUUGACAUGUUCUCGAUCGCCGUAGAGAUACGGUUUCCCCUUUGGGGCGGGUUCRCAGGUGGUGCAUGGUUGUCGUCAGCUCGUGUCNNGAGAUGUUGGGUUAAGUCCCGCAACGAGCGCAACCCUCGUUCCAUGUUGCCAGCACGUAAUGG